rnacentral:lncRNA from 1 species
AGUCGGCGCCCGGAAGAGGCGAGACUCGCGCUUGGGUUCUCAAUCCUUCUCUUUUCUCCUUUCUUUUUCCCUUUCUCCUCUCCGGUUCCUGAUUUAGCUGGGAGCUGUUUAUUUAUGGCUGCAAAUGUGUGUGUUCAAGAGAGAGAGGGAAUUGAUCUUUGCCUGGACUUAAAGAUGGAGCCGAAGAAGCUGGAGGGAAUUUGGGCUUGUGCGUCUGGCCCAGACCCUGUGCGCCGAGCCCGAGGUCUAUCCUCCCCGCACCUCUCACCUCGCGACCUUGCAGGAAUCCGCGGGCCCGGAUGCUGCCCAGCUGACCCUCCUGCCCCGGGCCUGGCUGCAGAGAAAGUCUUCGGGCAGGAGGCCAUCCUGUUCCUGUCUUUAAAAUGAGCACAAUAAAAGGGGGCAAAUCCUCGAACGCGAACCUGAUCUCAUGUCACAGAAGCAACUUGCCAUGAAAUCCGCUAAUGCGCUGCGACUCGCCCACCAGGCGUGCGGCGGCCGAACUGCACCUGCGUUUGUGAGCCUUGUAGAAAUGGAGCCCACCGGAUUCCCUCACCCGGAGAAAUGCCCAAACUGAAACUUGACUACACUUCCCUGGGCUGGUUCACGGUUUCAUAAUCUCCCAGGUUUGCUGGCUGUGUCACCAAAUCCAAGCCAAACCUGCUAUAAACAUGAUCACAGGCCACUGACCUCGCAGCACUGACCGAUAACUCGGUGGCAAAAUCAGCUCCUCUGGUCAGAGGUUAUUAAAGCAGCGGCUGAAUUCGUGUUUGUUUUUUUGAAGUGGUCAGAAAAACGUAGUCUUCUUAAACCUACAAAAACAGUCAAACACAUUUGCAAAUGUGCUUUACUUGUAUUGGUUCGAGUGCUGGAAGCUGUCUGGCGGUGAGCUUUUUCGUUGCGUGUGGUUUAUGCAGAGCACCCGGGAUGUUUUUCUCGUCUUUUACGUCUUGGUAUCUUUUAAAAAUGUAGAAUGUGUCUCUGAUUGUUUCACAGUAUGUUCCUUAACAACCAGAUAUGUAAGAAAACGUUUGGGAUUGAGUGGUGAGAAAAGCAGACUGGAAAGUACAAAUAAACCCAAUCCAAAUGGAAAACAAAUUAAACAGAUGAAAUGAUUAUGAAAGAAGAUGGGGGAAUUAACUUGUCUGGAAAAAAUCGAGUUUAGGGUCUGAACUUUACAGAUUAAAUGGCAACACAGAACAAAUCCAAAGGAAUUAAAUCUAUUCUUUUGCCCUCCUAGGCAUCUGGGUCAGAUGCACAUUUUGAGGCAUUUCAACAGACAGAUCAGCUCUGGGACACUUGCACACUUUUUUGGUAAACUGCAACCUAUUACGUGACCUUUAAUCCUGGUGGAAAACAAUUUAAAAUGUAUUCCUGGCUUUAGGAAACAAAAGAAAAAUUUUAAACCCUGGCAGUUAAAUUAUUACUGGUCUCUACAGGGUUAAUUUAAUGUAAAUAAUCUACUCUCCUGAGGGAAAAGGUGGAGGCCUGGCAUUCUGGAAGGGCCAGUCAGGUGGUGACAAAACUGUGUGCCUUGGGGUUUUGAGGGGUGUGUUGGGUGGCUCUGAACCUGGCUUUGGGUUUGUUACAUCUCUCGCUCUCUUAAAACAGUAACUCAAGAUGUAAGUAAAAGUGUUUUCAUUUUUUAUUGAUCCUGCUAACAUCUUUCAUUAUCCAGCAUGUAGCCACAGCAAAUUAUUGCUCAUUUGAUACUGAGAAUUCUAUUGACCAUCGCUUUCGUUGGAGAGAGAAUUCUAACUACUCGGCUGCUCUGUCAUCAGUCAGAGCUAAGGCUGAGGACUUUCCACCACUAAAACCAAAAUAAAUUGAGCCUUCUGCCUCCA